rnacentral:tRNA from 1 species
ACGGGCGUAGUUCAGCGGUAGAACGAUGGUCUCCAAAACCAUUAACGAGGGUUCAACUCCUUCCGCCCGUGCCA